CCUACGGGCGGCAGCAGUAGGGAAUCUUCCACAAUGGGCGCAAGCCUGAUGGAGCAACACCGCGUGAGUGAAGAAGGGUUUCGGCUCGUAAAGCUCUGUUGUUGGAGAAGAACGUGCGUGAGAGUAACUGUUCACGCAGUGACGGUAUCCAACCAGAAAGUCACGGCUAACUACGUGCCAGCAGCCGCGGUAAUACGUAGGUGGCAAGCGUUAUCCGGAUUUAUUGGGCGUAAAGCGAGCGCAGGCGGUUGCUUAGGUCUGAUGUGAAAGCCUUCGGCUUAACCGAAGAAGUGCAUCGGAAACCGGGCAACUUGAGUGCAGAAGAGGACAGUGGAACUCCAUGGGUAGCGGUGGAAUGCGUAGAGAUAUGGAAGAACACCAGUGGCGAAGGCGGCUGUCUGGUCUGCAACUGACGCUGAGGCUCGAAAGCAUGGGUAGCGAACAGGAUUAGAUACCCUGGUAGUC
rnacentral:rRNA from 1 species